CGGCGGACGGGUGAGUAACGCGUGGGUAACCUGCCUCAUACAGGGGGAUAACAGUUGGAAACGGCUGCUAAUACCGCAUAAGCGCACAGUACCGCAUGGUACGGUGUGAAAAACUCCGGUGGUAUGAGAUGGACCCGCGUCUGAUUAGGUAGUUGGUGGGGUAACGGCCUACCAAGCCGACGAUCAGUGGCCGGCCUGAGAGGGUGAACGGCCACAUUGGGACUGAGACACGGCCCAA
rnacentral:rRNA from 1 species